rnacentral:rRNA from 1 species
UGGCGGCGAUGGCGGAGAGGCCACACCUGUUCCCAUGUCGAACACAGUAGUUAAGCUCUCCAGCGCCGAUGGUAGUUGGA